GAAUGUGAUGAUCAAACUUUUUCUUCACUUUGACCUGAUAUUUGGUGAUGAAAACUGAUGACUGAUA
ensembl:snoRNA